AUGGAACUACUAAUAAACGCAGAAAAUCCCUUAUGCAGAGAAAUGACAAGAGUAGACGAUACCAAUAUUGAAGAUAAGACCGAAAAGAUAAUAAGAAACAAAAUCAGAAAUUACACAGCAAAACAGGUUAACGUGUAUCUAGAAAUGGAUGGAAAGACAAAUAUUCAUUCAGGCCCUUGGGAUAUAAAGUGUCCAGUGUUUUAAUCCAGUAAACCUCCCGCUGAAGUAGAAUCUUAGAUCGGUCCCCCCCUCGGCUAAGAGGGGGAAUGUGAUCAAUAGCAAUAAAUUUAAGGGUGGGAAGUCGAUGAUUCGCCUCUAAGAAGUGUUUGGCCACCGGUUUAUCGGUUCUGCCAUCCCUAAAGGCGGUCAUAAUCCCCGAUCGGUGGCCACGCAUUCUGUCCCGCAAUGUGAGAUCAGUCUUUCCCACAUAGUAAAGUCCGCAAGGACAAGAUAUUAAAUAGAUCACAUAAGUGGUGAGGCACGUGAUAUGGU